GCGGGAGAAGAAGCCCCNGCUAACUCCGUGCCAGCAGCCGCNNNNAUACGGAGGGGGCUAGCGUUGUUCGGAAUUACUGGGCGUAAAGCGUACGUAGGCGGAUGCGCAAGUUGGGGGUGAAAUCCCGGGGCUUAACCUCGGAAUUGCCCUCAAAACUGCACGUCUUGAGACCGAGAGANGUAAGGGGAAUUCCUAGUGUAGAGGUGAAAUUCGUAGAUAUUAGGAAGAACACCAGUGGCGAAGGCGCCUUACUGGCUCGGUACUGACGCUGAGGUACGAAAGCGUGGGGAGCAAACA
rnacentral:rRNA from 1 species